UACGGAAGGCAGCAGUGGGGAAUAUUGCACAAUGGGCGCAAGCCUGAUGCAGCCAUGCCGCGUGUAUGAAAAAGGCCUUCGGGUUGUAAAGUACUUUCAGUCGUGAGGAAGGUGUUAAGGUUAAUAACCUUAGCAAUUGACGUUAGCGACAGAAGAAGCACCGGCUAACUCCGUGCCAGCAGCCGCGGUAAUACGGAGGGUGCGAGCGUUAAUCGGAAUUACUGGGCGUAAAGGGCACGCAGGCGGUUAAUUAAGUUGGAUGUGAAAUCCCCGGGCUUAACCUGGGAAUGGCAUUCAAAACUGGUUAGCUAGAGUCUUGUAGAGGGGGUAGAAUUCCAUGUGUAGCGGUGAAAUGCGUAGAGAUGUGGAGGAAUACCGGUGGCGAAGGCGGCCCCUGGACAAAGACUGCGCUCAUGUGCGAAAGCGUGGGGAGCAAACAGGGAUUAGAUACCCGU
rnacentral:rRNA from 1 species